GCUCCGGUGGCCUAGUAGUUAGAGCGUCUGCCUCGGAUGUGUGAGGUCGCUGGUUCGAACCCCGGCCGAGGCA